CCAAUAGCGUAUAUUAAAGUUGUUGCAGUUAAAAAGCUCGUAGUUGAAUUUCGGGAUUAGUAGGUUGGUCGUGCCUCUGGUAUGUACUCGCCUUACUGGUUCCUCCUUCUUGAAGAACUGUAAUGCCAUUAAUUUGGUGUUGCAGGGAAACAGGACUGUUACUUUGAAAAAAUUAGAGUGUUUAAAGCAGGCCAACGCCUGAAUACAUUAGCAUGGGAUAAUGAAAUAGGACGUUGAUCCUAUUUUGUUGGUUUCUAGGAUUGACGUAAUGAUUAAUAGGGAUAGUUGGGGGCAUUAAUAUUCAAUUGUCAGAGGUGAAAUUCUUGGAUUUAUUGAAGACUAACUACUGCGAAAGCAUUUGCCAAGGAUGUUUUCAUUAAUCAAGAACGAAAGUUAGGGGAUCGAAGACGAUCAGAUACCGUCGUAGUCUUAACCAUAAACUAUGCCGACUAGGGAUCGGAUGAUGUUAAUUUUUUAAUGACUCAUUCGGCGCCUUACG
rnacentral:rRNA from 1 species